GUAGGUGAACCUGCGGAAGGAUCAUUAACAAAUUCUAUAUGAGAUAUAUACCAGUGAACAGACCGGUGGAGUGGGGAGGUUUGAGGAGGGAGGGGAGGGUACCGCUUGCGGUAUAAUAUAACCGUCUCUCCUUGGGUCACUCACACGCCGGUGAUAAACACCUUAGCAGUUGACUUUGAGUAAGCGCACUUGUUGCGUCAAAAAAUAAUACAACUUUUAACAAUGGAUCUCUUGGCUCUC
rnacentral:misc_RNA from 1 species